rnacentral:rRNA from 1 species
AACGAACGCUGGCGGCGUGGAUAAGACAUGCAAGUCGAACGGGAACUUCAGCUGUAGCAAUACAGUUGAAGUUUUAGUGGCGAACGGGUGCGUAACACGUGGGCAAUCUGCCGAGAAGUGGGGGAUAGCUCGCCGAAAGGCGAAUUAAUACCGCAUAUGAUCAGCUAAGACAUCUUAGCGACAUCAAAGCCGGGGCAACCUGGCGCUUUUUGAGGAGCCCGCGGCCUAUCAGCUAGUUGGUGAGGUAACGGCUCACCAAGGCUAUGACGGGUAGCUGGUCUGAGAGGACGACCAGUCACACUGGAACUGAGACACGGUCCAGACACCUACGGGUGGCAGCAGUCGAGAAUUUUU